GUCACUGGCGUCCUCCAGAGUGCCCACCGAUCGGAAAGUCGUACGAACCGCAAGCUUUGAACGUCUGUUUAUCGCAACAUCGAAAGCGGCGGCACAGAAGACGCGAUGUGAGCUCCGGUGGGAACAGCAGCCCUUUGUCUCGUAACGGAUGUUGCUAUCUCUACAAUAGCCGGAGAAGACGAAACAAGUUUUGCAAUGCACACGGACUGGCUCAGUUGUGAAUGUCACAAAUGCUCCCCUAACGAGGAUCAAAUCAAUGAAAGGAUGGCCUUGAUAAAUAAUAUUCAUGAGGCGAAGAGGAAGUACCCAUACAUGAUGAGCUUUGAGAGGUGACUUUGCAAGACUGACUAAGAUUGACCCAUCACCUUGUAUUGCAAAAGGGAUCAACAAAAUUGUGAAAAUGGCAGAAAUGAAACACAUCCCUUGCGAAGCAAGUGUAAUGGCAUCACUUCAAAAGGCUCGUGAGAUGUCACCGGAGAGGCUGCGAACACGACGUGAGUACUGUUACAAAGGCUUCAUCGGCAGCUUUUAGACCUACACUCCGUGACAUUAUUUUUGCAGGGUUUCGUCUCAUAGGCAUAACAUUAGAGUACAUCUGUGUUCAAUUAUUUGGUUCUUUUAAGACAGUUCUUCAGGUUUUCAACUCAUAUCUUCUCUAAA
rnacentral:lncRNA from 1 species